rnacentral:rRNA from 1 species
AGAGCGCAGGGUGGAUGCCUUGGCACUAAGAGCCGAUGAAAGACGUGAUAAGCUGCGAAAAGCUUCGGGGAGGAGCAAAUAUCCUACGAUCCGGAGAUAUCUGAAUGGGGAAACCCGGCGGAGCAACCCUCCGUCAUCUUAACGCGAAUCCAUAACGUUAAGAAGGGAACCCGGUGAACUGAAACAUCUAAGUAGCCGGAGGAAUAGAAAACAACAUGUGAUUCCGUAAGUAGCGGCGAGCGAACGCGGAAGAGCCCAAACCGGAGUGCGUGCACUCCGGGGUUCGGACUGCAGGAUUGACGAGUGAGCCUAGUAGAAUGGUUUUGGGAAAGCCAGCCAGAGAGGGUGAAAGCCCCGUACAUGAAAGACGAGUGAGCAUGGCAGUAUCCAGAGUACCACGAGACACGAGAAACCUUGUGGGAAUGAGCGGGGACCACCCCGUAAGGCUAAAUACUCCUUAGUGACCGAUAGCGCAUAGUACUGUGAAGGAAAGGUGAAAAGGACCCCGGGAGGGGAGUGAAAGAGAACCUGAAACCCUGUGUUUACAAGCUGUGGAAGCACGUUAAGGUGCGACCGCGUACUUUUUGUAGAACGGUCCGGCGAGUUACGCUGGCUGGCGAGGUUAAGGGCUGAAGGCCUGGAGCCGAAGGGAAACCGAGUCUGAACAGGGCGAAAUAGUCAGUCGGAGUAGACCCGAAACCGGGUGAUCUAUCCAUGUCCAGGUUGAAGUUGCCGUAAAAGGCAAUGGAGGACCGAACGCACAUCCGUUGAAAAGGGUGGCGAUGAGGUGUGGAUAGGGGAGAAAUUCCAAUCGAACCCGGAGAUAGCUGGUUCUCCCCGAAAUAGCUUUAGGGCUAGCCUCGUAUUAGUCUGGUGGAGGUAGAGCACUGAAUUUCCUAGGGGGCGUCAAAGCCUACCGAAGAAUAUCAAACUCCGAAUGCCAUACAGAUGAUGUACGGGAGUCAGACGGCACGAGAUAAGUUGGGUCGUCAAAAGGGAAAGAGCCCAGACCUGCAGCUAAGGUCCCAAAGUGUGUGUUAAGUGGAAAAGGAUGUGGGAUUUCAAAGACAACUAGGAUGUUGGCUCAGAAGCAGCCACACAUUCAAAGAGUGCGUAAUAGCUCACUAGUCGAGAGGUCCUGCGCCGAAAAUGUCCGGGGCUGAAACACACUACCGAAGCCGUGGAAUCAACGAAUGUUGAUUGGUAGAGGAGCAUUCUUAAAGAGAAGAAGCUGUACCGGAAGGAGCAGUGGAUUUUUAAGAAGAGAGAAUGCCGGAAUGAGUAGCGAGAGGAAGGUGAGAAUCCUUCCGGCCGAAUAUCUAAGGUUUCCAGAGUAAAGCUGAUCUGCUCUGGGUAAGUCGGGGCCUAAGGCGAGGCUGAAAAGCGUAGUCGAUGGACAACAGGUUGAAAUUCCUGUACUGCAUAUCAUCAGAACUGUGGGGACACAGAACCGAAGUCAAACCCGGGAAUGAAAAGACCGGGGCAAGCGCCGGACUGGUUAGACUGGCAAAUCCGUUUAACAACAGGAAAGCGUGACGCGUACCGAACAAAAGUAGGGAAGCUGAAGAUUCGAACUGUCAAGAAAAGCCGCUAUUGUGUUACAUGUGCCCGUACCGUAAACCGACACAGGUGGAUGAGGAGAGAAUCCUAAGGCCGGCGGGAGAAGCAUUGUUAAGGAACUCGGCAAAAUGACCCUGUAACUUCGGGAUAAAGGGUGCCCACGAGAGUGGGCCGCAGAGAAUAGGCUCAAGCAACUGUUUAGCAAAAACACAGGUCUAUGCAAAACCGAAAGGUGAAGUAUAUGGGCUGACGCCUGCCCGGUGCUGGAAGGUUAAGGGGAUCUGUAAGAGCAAUCGAAGCAGUGAUCUUAAGCCCCAGUAAACGGCGGCCGUAACUAUAACGGUCCUAAGGUAGCGAAAUUCCUUGUCGGGUAAGUUCCGACCCGCACGAAAGGCGUAAUGAUUUGAGCGCUGUCUCGACAAUGCACCCGGUGAAAUUGAAAUACCAGUGAAGAUGCUGGUUACCUGCGCCAGGACGGAAAGACCCCAUGGAGCUUUACUCCAGCUUGAUACUGGGAUUCGAUAUUGCAUGUACAGGAUAGGUGGGAGACUGAGAACUGAUGACGCCAGUUGUCAGGGAGUCACUGUUGGGAUACCACCCUUGUAGUAUUGGAUUUCUAACCAGCAGCCGUGAACCGGCUGGGGGACAAUGUCAGGUGGGGAGUUUGACUGGGGCGGUCGCCUCCGAAAGGGUAUCGGAGGCGCUCAAAGGUUCCCUCAGAAUGGUUGGAAACCAUUCGAAGAGUGCAAAGGCAGAAGGGAGCUUGACUGCGACACCGACGGGUGGAGCAGGUACGAAAGUAGGACUUAGUGAUCCGGUGGUAUGAAAGUGGGAUUGCCAUCGCUCAACGGAUAAAAGCUACCCUGGGGAUAACAGGCUUAUCACUCCCAAGAGUUCACAUCGACGGAGUGGUUUGGCACCUCGAUGUCGGCUCAUCGCAUCCUGGGGCUGAAGUAGGUCCCAAGGGUUGGGCUGUUCGCCCAUUAAAGCGGUACGCGAGCUGGGUUCAGAACGUCGUGAGACAGUUCGGUCCCUAU